GGGGCUCAGGAGCAGAGCACUUGUCUAGCAUAAACAACCCUGGGUUCAUUCAAGCUCCAACAUGGAAACUGUCUGCAGACUGAGCGAACCAAGCAUUCUAUCAGAACCCUGAGGCCCUGGAUUCUAGGUCCAGCAGCAGCCAGAGGGACCAUGCAGGUCCUCCUCGCUGUGAUGGUCUGGAUGGCUUCUUCUGCGUCUGGUUUUUCAUAUACAGCAAGUACUUUGCCAAAAAUAACAAACGAGGACUUCAUCGAAGAAUGCGUUGAAGUUCACAACCACUUUCGGUCAAAAGCGUAUCCACCGGCCGGGAAUAUGUUGUACAUGUCUUGGGACCCAAAACUAGCCCAAAUUGCAAAAGCGUGGGCACAGUCUUGUGUAUUUCAACACAACCCACAGCUGCAUUCGCGAAUACACCCAAACUUUACUGGCCUGGGCGAAAACAUUUGGCUUGGCUCUCUAUCCCUCUUCUCAGUACGUGCGGCCAUCCUCGCCUGGUUUGAAGAAAGCCAGUACUAUGACUUCAGCACUGGGAAAUGUAAAAAAGUCUGUGGGCAUUACACUCAGAGGGAAUUACCCAACGUGGCCAUAUAAGCAGGGAGCCACUUGCAGUGCUUGCCCAAAGGAUGACAAGUGCCUGAACAAUCUCUGCACUAACCCACAACGAGAUCAGGUCUCACGUCACUCUGCUGAUUAUCCAAAAUAUCUACGUAACAGAUACACAUCGCUCUAUCUCAUCGCUAAGUCAGUUCUCCUAUUACUGUCUGUCAUAAUUACCAUUUGGGUAAAG
rnacentral:lncRNA from 1 species